CGGCGGACGGGUGAGUAACGCGUGGGCAACCUGCCCCAUACAGGGGGACAACACUUAGAAAUAGGUGCUAAUACCGCAUAACGGGGGGAGCCGCAUGGCACCCCCCUGAAAACUCCGGUGGUACAGGAUGGGCCCGCGUCUGAUUAGCUGGUUGGCAGGGUAACGGCCUACCAAGGCGACGAUCAGUAGCCGGCCUGAGAGGGCGGACGGCCACACUGGGACUGAGACACGGCCCAGACUCCUACGGGAGGCAGCAG
rnacentral:rRNA from 1 species